UGGCUCAGUGGGUAGAGCAUGGUGUUUGCAACGCCAGGGUUGUGGGUUUAAUUCCCAC
rnacentral:tRNA from 1 species